GGCAAGAAGCAGGGGCCCAGUUCUCAGCUCGGAGACACAAAUACGCCUGGCACUCGGGCGAGGUUUGCGGCCAGAUGGUCUCCCACCCACCUCUCCUAGAGCUUGGGUCCCGCCUGGGGACAUGAGGCUUGGGGCCACCUGCUGGGCCUGAGUGCCUCCUGCUCUGGUAAGAGCUUCCGCUCCUAGUUUGUGCAGCUUCUCUGGAGGGAUCUCCAACUGACUUAAAAAUAAACUACCGUGCAUCCCACCGUUCAAAAUAGCUAGAAAAGAGGACCUACCUGGCAUGCUUUCUUUGUAAAGAACCGUAAAUAUCUGAGAUGGUAUAAGAAUUAUUCAGGUUCAAUCGGUGUGUGUUGCAUGCAUCUAUCAAAGGAUCCCACUGUGCAUCUAUGUGUUCAUUAAAAAUAACGUGUCUGUGCCCGACAAAUGAUUCACACACCAAAUGUCCUCACGCCUAUCUUGGUGCCAGUCUCCUCACACUGAGGCUGCAGAAAUGACCGAAACUAUGUUCUUAUGCUCAAGUAGAACUUACAUCAUCUGAGGAAGUCUCCAUCACUGUGAUUCUUGUGGCCAGGAUGCCAGGACUCGGUAACCAUCCUCCUCCCCACAGAAAUACAGAUUUCUGUGCCGAUUGCUACUUCCUGAGCAGACCUAAUUGGGCUUUCCCUCACAUUUUUAUGAACCUUUCCCUUACUCUCCUGCUGGAAAGAGAACAAUAUAAACAGGGAGAAAAGGAAAGAAAACUCAAUUUCAGACUGGCUUGAGAAAUGGGGGCCUAGCUCUGCGGGGCAGAAGAGAAACCCAACCACUCCAGCACUGGCUGAAAAUUUGCUGUGUCCCAUCCAGGCGUGGGCUCGAGAGCUGGGACUCAAGAGCUGAAGAGGGAAAGAAAGAAUUAAGAUUGGAACAGUCAGGUUGAUGACUGAAGUGUGGGGCUCAGGAGAACAGCGGUAGCAAGAAGGGUUCUUGCUCUGAAUUGAAGCAUCUGUUGGUCUUGUUAGCACUGGGUGGUUAAUGCUUGACUUUGGACCUGCAUAUAUGCUAUAUGUAAAGUCUCAGCAUUGGACCAUUAGGUGAUAGAAAGUGGAAAAGUCCUGUACAAAUACACACAUGCGCAUGGAGAAGACCCAGGACUCCUGUAUGUCUGCACGGAAAGAGAGCGAAUCAAUCCCGAUGGUUUUAAGUGACAGCAAUCCUGUAUCGCUUCUGGACUUGCAGUCUGCAUGGGGCUCAUUGCAAGUCUGAGCUGUGCUCCCUGGCAUGUCGCCUGGAUUGGUUGGGCAGAGACUGGAGGGGCUGCUGUCAGGAUGGACUGUCAGAUUUGCCCAUGGUCUCUGGGACAGAGGACACCUGCCAAGAGAGGAAAGGCUACUAGCAAUCAUUGUGAUUCUGAGUUACCCAGUUGCGAACUCCUUUGAGUCCGGUGCCAGCCUUGGCUAAAUCACUGUCCCCUGAACAAAUGCUGUUUAAAAACCCAAAGGCAGCUGCGUGGGAGUGAAGUCCAAGAUGGCAGCAAGGACAAUGGGCUCCUGCUGGCUUCCCGCCCGCUGUGUUUUGAUCAGCCAAAGGCUUGAUUCUCCAUCCCUUCUGUGUGGAGCCAGAUGAAAGCCACUGUCGGCAAGCAUCCUGCCUGUGAUGAAGGGGUGUUUACUCACAGAAUGUCACUGUGGACAGCCUCACCCAGGCCUCCAGCAAAUGGCCAGACCUGGAACGGCUCAGAGAGGACAAAAUGGAUGAAGCCAACGAAGCUAAAAUGCUGUCUGCAAGUGCCCAUCCGAACGAGUCAGUCAUGGCUAACACUGGGUCCCUGUGCCUUUGGUUUGUGUCAUGGACAGACGUAAGGUCAAGGUGGGAUUGCAGGGGAGGAUACAUGAAUAGGAAGGGGGGGGGCGCUCAGUCGGUAAAGUGCUAGCCAGGCAUUCAUGAAAAUCUGAGUGUGAUUCCUAGAACCCAUGUACAAAAACUAGGCUUGGGGUCAGCAAGAUGGCUUCGUGGGCACUUGCUGCCAAGCCCCAAGGCCUGAGUUCAAGCUCUGGGACUCAUACAGAAAAAGGAAAGAACCAAGUCUGUAAGUUCUUUGACCUCCCCAUGUGUGCACAUGCACACACACACACACACACACACACACACACACACACGUAAUUAAAUGAGCUCAGUGGUACCCAUCUGUGAUUCCAUUGCUGGUGAGGUCUCAGCAGAGGAUUCUGGGGUUCACUGGCCAAGAAAUCUAGCUGAAUCGGUAAAACCUAGGCCAACAAGAGACAGUCUCACAAGCAUGGAAGAUGGCACAUGACGGGCAACGCCCAAGGUUGAUCUCUGGCUUCCUGUACACACAUCCGCACCUGCACACAUGAACAUGCACAUAUCCACAUAUCAUACAUACAGGGUGGGCUGGUGGGGAAGGGGAGACCAUAGUGUGUUAGAAGGGUGAGUGGGGCUCAACUGAAAAGCACCUGGGUGGGACACAGAAAGGGCUUGUCAACCAGUGACCAGUCGAGUCUCUGGAGCCCAGAGAAAGAUAAUGCUGCCCUCGAACGCUUCCUUGAUUAGCUGUAGUCAGCCACCCACGCUUGCCGAGAUCCUGAUCUGUGUCAUUCUUCCAGGCCUGACCAUGCUUCUGCUUGCCGUGUAGGCCACAGGUACCUUCUCCCCUUGCAGAAAGACCAAGUGUCACAUUCUUAAACCAGGUUUAAAAACUGAGACCAUCGCUUUGUUUUCAGGGGUCCAGAGCCCAGGAGCCCAAUAGUACAUUCAUCUGCUCUGGGGAACGAGGUACCAGCCUGGGAUGGCAAGCCUCCAAAGAAAGGUUCUGCCAUCCAUCCAGAUGUAAGGCAGCCUCGGCUUUUGUGUGAGGAGUUGGCCAGUUGCCAUGAGCAGUGCAGAAACCCCUUCCUCCCAGGCCUGUGGCUGGAAUCGCCACUCACCUCCAACAGCCCCCUCAUUAGAGAGAUUCAAAGGGGCUUUGAAACAUUUCCUUCCAACUUAAAAGCAUCAAAGAGGGCAUGCCCAUAAUCCCACCAAUCAAUCAUACACAGUAUUUAUAUUCCUCCACAGCCCCUUCCAUUUUUCAUCUGUAUAAAUACAUGUUUUAUGUAUUUAUAAUUGUGGGGGCAUAUACUUUAUUCAGCAUCACUUCCUCUGGAUCCCCCAAAUUACUACCUAGGUUUAAGUUGCCCGCUCUAACACUGAAGUAAUCACACUGAUAUUUUCUUUACUGUCCCAGCAGAAUACAAUAUUUCUUUUGAUUUUAGAUUCUUGUUAUUUCUUGUUAUUAUAAAGAUGUAAUAAACAUCUAUAUACAACUAAGGGUUUUUUUUUCUACUUUGAGUUAUUUCCCUGGCAUAGAUUCCCAGGAGUGGGCGUA